rnacentral:lncRNA from 7 species
AUUCCUUUUUCACAGAUGAAGGAACUGCAUGCCCAAGAUCAUGCAGCACAGAGAUUUGGAGGGAAUGACAGAACCAGGAGCAGAAUGCUGCUGUUUUACUCCCAAGCAACAUCCAGCCCACUGGGAGAGUAAAUGAAGCGUGCUGGUCAUGGUGCGCAGCUGGUGGCCUUGCAGUUGUGCUGGGCAAUGUCUGUGCUGCAAGAGGGGUCUUCGAGUCACGUUGCCAAAGGUUUAAAAACCUUCUUAAUAUAACAAAUCUUAGAGCCCAACAGGUAGUCUUAAAGGUUGGUCUUAGUACAGAUGAUUCUGAUAAAAUUGAUUUAAAUAAUGUAUUGCUUAGUACCUUGACACCAGGUUUUAUGAGGUUUUUGAUAGGAACUCUGUUGAUGGAACUUGUCAAGGGCCUUGCGAAACUGAGAACAAAGGCAUGCCUACGUGAGUUGCCUUCUCAGGUCUUCUGCUCAAUCCUACCAGCAGCAUCUGUCCUCAUAGGUGUCUCAGCCAGUCAACCUAAUAGACGUAGACUUGCAAGGGAGGAAAUGCUGAAAUUUCUCCUUUGAGGGAACAUGCUUCAGGGAAUGCUACUUGCUGAGAAGCUCACAGACAGCAGUGAGAGCUCACAGAAACUGCUGUUUCUGUGGGGCUGUUUCAUACCAGUGUGGCUUUAGUGAGAUCGUGUGUAAGGGAGGGUUCUUACUUUGUUCAGAUGUUUUUCUUGCUACCUCAAGUCUUGUUAGUGUUGAUAGUGUUUCAGAAAUUCAUGUUUUCUGCACAUUUUCAUAAGGACCCCCUGCUGUUUUGAACUGGAGCCUUUAAUGAAAAUAUUAGGACCAACCUGUGAGGAAUAAAAUACCUAUUCUAUCAAUGGUAGUGCUUUUCAGCACUACUGGUUGCUAGCUUUUUUACUACCUUUUUAAUACCUCCAGCAGUCAUGUGCUUCCACUAAUGAAGUACUUCCUGUAUGGCAUUGUAUCAAAUACUUCUCAAGUAGAUGAGAAGUACCACUUCUCAUUUUGUUUUGCUGUUGUUGUUUUGCUGUUUUUUUUUCCCCUAGGAAAUUACUUUGAAAAUGUCUGUCAGGUUAGACUAAACAAUCUAUCCUUAGACUUACACUACUUUCUGUUUCGGACUCUGUCUUCAUCUAUUUUUUAUUUUGAGGUCUGUUAUAAAGUUUUGCUUGCAAAUAAGAUUCUCGUGGCUUCUUGGUUCCUUUUUCCUUGCCACCCUUCUGAAAUAAUGAUCCGAUGUCUUCUUCACUUCAGCUGGUAUUUUUCCCUGCUGAUUUAAUUAGGAGGAUGUAGAACUGAACCAGCAGUUUUUUAGCUUUUGGUUCUUCCAGAGUCAUAGCAUGGUUACCUGUCUCCUUAUCUGCCCACCCACUCACACAUCUGUAAGUACACUGAGCUUUUGGCUUGUUUCCAAAAUUUGUUUCCACAUCUUUAUUCUCUUUACUCAUCCUGCUAUAAUAAAAGUCUUCAUUAUCAUCCUUACUGCCAACUCAGACAAAGCACUCACUUAGAAUUGAGAUCAUACUUGUAUUAGUUUCUUACACUGUGCCAACUGCAAUAUGCUCCUUCUUUUUCUGCCUUUACCAACUUAUUUAUAUAGCAAAAUAUCGCUUUUCUUUCUUGUCUGUAAUAUAUAGGGAAGUAGAUCUUGGCUUGAUUUUUGAUCAUUUUCACUUAUCCUUGCCCUUCUUGAUCUCUGAUAUUAAGAAGAUUGCAUUCCUUCACUUUUUGUCCUCUUUUCCAUUACUUUUUAGCCUUUCCACUUAUUCUUAGCAUCUUCCUUCAUUCAUCUGCUGGAUCUGAUGCCCCUUAAUGUCAGUCUUCCUAAUUACUGAAAAUAUAAUUUCAAUAUUUAUACCCUAGGCACUUCUGAUCUGGAGGAAUUCCUGAUCUGCUUUAUAGUCAAUUGUCUGAUAUCCUCAAUCCAUCUGAUUUUACUUAUAGGGUUUAUCAAAGCUAUAUGUUAUCCUUGUUGAAAUCUCUUGUAGACUUGCUUUCUUUAUAUUUCAGUUAAUUUAAACAGGGACCUCUUGUGAUCUUUCCAUGCAAUGUCAUACUCUACAUCCAGAUUUUUUAUAAUGAUCAUACUGCUCACAAAAAUCAAAUAUAGAUUUGUUUUUGUUAUUGCAUUGAGUCACUGAAUAGGUCAGAGUAGCUGAUUUAAUCUGUCAUCUUUAGCUCCUUAAUUGUAUGAUUAAAAAAAGUUUAGUAUUAUUACUCAUUUCUAACUCAGUUGGACAAAACCUAUCAUUUUGCAAUGAAAUUUUGUAUUUAUUUCUAUAAAGUGGUGAAAUUAAUUUUUUGAUGGAAAAUGGAAGUAAAUAAUGUUAUCUAUUGACUUCAUAUUUGGUGAAAUGUUAUGUACUCACUGUAAUGAAUGAAGUUCACAUGUACUAUCACUUCAUUCUGGAUCAAGUGAUAAUAAUAUGUGCAUGACAAAAAUAGAUGGUGAUUCCUGUACAUUGAGACACUGAUGUGGAUUGUUGCAGUGGUUCGCUGUCUGCUAAAGCUUCUGCUAUCUUAAUGAGGUACAUCAUAAACAUGAGGAUUUUUC